CCCAGCCAUUCCAGCCUGUUGCCCAGGGGAUGGUGGAUUCAGCUCAAAUAGUAUCCAUGGUAAAAAAGAAUCCAGACACAGCACAGGUGGAGGGCAGUGUCUGAGGGCCUCAUGGGUCCUGGACCUGACUCCUGCACCUGCACAUGGGACAGGACACCUGGAAUAAGAGGGAACAUCCUGAUUCUCCUCAGAGAUGGCCAGGACUCCAGAGUUCAGGUUCUCACAUGUUGUGUGGCUUUUGGGCUAAAACACACCUGAAACACUGA
rnacentral:lncRNA from 1 species